rnacentral:rRNA from 1 species
GGGAAUUUUGGACAAUGGGCGAAAGCCUGAUCCAGCAAUGCCGCGUGUGUGAAGAAGGCCUUCGGGUUGUAAAGCACUUUUGUCCGGAAAGAAAUCCUUGGCCCUAAUACGGUCGGGGGAUGACGGUACCGGAAGAAUAAGCACCGGCUAACUACGUGCCAGCAGCCGCGGUAAUACGUAGGGUGCGAGCGUUAAUCGGAAUUACUGGGCGUAAAGCGUGCGCAGGCGGUUUGCUAAGACCGAUGUGAAAUCCCCGGGCUCAACCUGGGAACUGCAUUGGUGACUGGCAGGCUAGAGUAUGGCAGAGGGGGGUAGAAUUCCACGUGUAGCAGUGAAAUGCGUAGAGAUGUGGAGGAAUACCGAUGGGAAGGCACCAAUACUGACGCUCAUGCACGAAAGCGUGAGCAAACAGGAUUAGAUACCCUGGUAGUCCCGCCUACGAUGUCCUAGUUGUUGGGGAUCAUUUCCUUAGUAACGUAGCUAACGCGGUUGACCGCCUGAGUACGGUCGCAAGAUUAUCAAAGGAAUUGACGGGGACCCGCACGCGAUGAUGUGGAUUAAUUCGAUGCAACGCGAAAAACCUUACCUACCCUUCAUGGUCGGAAUCCCAGAGGGGAGUGCUCGAAACACU